GACGAACGCUGGCGGCGUGCUUAACACAUGCAAGUCGAGCGGUAAGGCCCUUUCGGGGGUACACGAGCGGCGAACGGGUGAGUAACACGUGGGUGACCUGCCCUCAGCUCUGGGAUAAGCCUGGGAAACUGGGUCUAAUACUGGAUAUGACUCCACGGUGCAUGUCGUGGGGUGGAAAGCCUUGUGCGGCUGAGGAUGGGCCCGCGGCCUAUCAGCUUGUUGGUGGGGUGANGGCCUACCAAGGCGACGACGGGUAGCCGGCCUGAGAGGGCGACCGGCCACACUGGGACUGAGACACGGCCCAGACUCCUACGGGAGGCAGCAGUGGGGAAUAUUGCGCAAUGGGCAAAGCCUGACGCAGCGACGCCGCGUGAGGGAUGACGG
rnacentral:rRNA from 1 species